GGCGAAAAAGAACCCCCGGGGAGGGGGAGUGAAAUAGAUCCUGAAACCGCAUGCAUACAAACAGUGGGAGCCCCGCAAGGGGUGACUGCGUACCUUUUGUAUAAUGGGUCAGCGACUUACGUUCAGUUGCGAGCUUAACCGAAUAGGGGAGGCGCAGCGAAAGCGAGUCUGAACAGGGCGUUCAGUAGCUGGGCGUAGACCCGAAACCGGAUGAUCUAUCCAUGGCCAGGUUGAAGGUGCGGUAACACGCACUGGAGGACCGAACCCACUAGUGUUGCAAAACUAGGGGAUGAGCUGUGGAUAGGGGUGAAAGGCUAAACAAAAUCCGGAGAUAGCUGGUUCUCCUCGAAAGCUAUUUAGGUAGCGCCUCGUGUAUCACUCUCGGGGGUAGAGCACUGUAAUGGUUGGGGGGUCGUCUAGACCUACCCCGCCAUAGCAAACUCCGAAUACCGAGAAGUGCGAGCACGGAGACAGACGGUGGGUGCUAACGUCCAUCGUCAAGAGGAAACAACCACGACCACAGCUAAGGU
rnacentral:rRNA from 1 species